AGACAAUGGAGUGUUUUCAGUUCCAAACCCAGAGAAGAAGCAAGAAAAGGCUUUGCUGAGUGACCUGACCAUUCUGAAGAUUGUCUAAUAUUUUGGAAAAUGCAUAUAUCUUUAUAUUUGGAGUGGGAAAUUCCAAAUGGAAUGAAAAGUAUUUGGAGAAGCAAAGAAGUCUUUCUGGAAUAGUCUUCUGGCAGAAGAACAGAAUGUUUCUAAAGCAAACAAGACACGUGCUGAUGAGAGCCAGUGUUACCUUCUCCCUCCAGCUAUCAUCACUCAGCAGCUUCUGUCUCAGGGUUUCCUGCAUCUGCUCGAUGCUUUUCUGAUGGGCAACCAGCAUCAAUUCCCUGAAAACCACAAACCCAACAGAUGAGUCGGGACUCAGCCCUCAUGAUCCUCCAGAUUGCAAUUUCUGUCUCAGAGACGAUUCUUUCACAACAUAAUAUGCUUGUGCUCUUUAACAACGUAGCUAUUGCUUUGGAUUGAAAUCCCAGAGUCGCCUCUGACUUAUCAUUUCCCCUGCUUCAUCAUGGCCAUUCAAGAGCAGCUGGCUAGAAGAUAAGCCUUAACAAUUUCUUUUAAAAACUGAAGUCAAGGGUUGAGGAGGUGCUCAGUAAAGUGCUUGCCAUUACAAGCUUGAAGACCUGAGUUCAGAGCCUCAGAGCCCACAUGAAGCCAGACAUGCUGGCAUGUUUCUAUAACAUCAGAGCUCCUACAGCAAGAUGGAAGGCAGAUACAAGAAUCCCAGAAGCCCAAGAGCCUAUUAGCUUGGUGUACACAGGGGUGAAUAGAAGAUGCUGUCUCAGGCAAGGAGCCAUGUUGAGGUCCAUGGUCUGCGCUGUUGCUGGAGGCCGUGUGGAUGUCUGUCCAUGCUGUGGCCACAAACCAUGUGGAAGCUCAUGAUCUUCUACUGCCGGCUGCUAUGGGCAGGGAAGAUGCUUUUGCAAUGGUAUUGAUGACUGCAGACUCAUUAUUGAAAAUGAGAGACAUUGAGGACUUUUGUGACAAGCCCCCUCCAAAAAAAGAAGAGAAAGAAGCAGAAGAAAAAAGAGGAGGAGAAGAUGAAGAAGAAGGAGAAGGUGGUGAAGAAGGAGG